UAAAGCACAGCGAUUCUCAGAGAAAUCUGUUUUAAUCAUUGUUUCGGAGCAUCAAUCACGAUCUACAGCAAGAAAUUUGCAGUAUACAAUUGACCUUAACCCAAUAGUUUAGACUAAGAUAAGAAGACAUGGCUAACUACGCUAAAAAGUCUUCAGAUCCAAGAGGGUAUGUCGUGGUUAUCAUAAACAGCAAAUUUGUUGCGGACGUGGGCGAUCUUCCUACCGGCAAUGAAAUCG